GACGAACCGUGCGAACGUUGUUCGGAAUCACUGGGCUUAAAGGGCGCGUAGGCGGGUCGGUCAGUCCGGGGUGAAAGCCCCCAGCUCAACUGGGGAAGCGCCUUGGAGACGGCCGGUCUUGAGGGAGGUAGGGGCGUGCGGAACUUCCGGUGUAGCGGUGAAAUGCGUAGAUAUCGGAAGGAACAUCAGUGGCGAAAGCGACUUCCUGGACCAAUACUGACGCUCAUGUGCGAAAGCGUGGGGAGCAAACAGG
rnacentral:rRNA from 1 species